CAAAUGGCUCCAUAGUCAAAGGCAUCUAUCUAGACGUGGAAACCUUUACGCCACAAACAGGAAAUGAAACAACAACUUUCACACUAGCCCAUCCUCUUCCUGACAAAAAAGAGUCCCUGAUAAACAAAACAGUUCGCAGAAACUGCCUUACAGCACAGCUCUCUUCUUUCGAUAUUGCAUUGCUAUUGUUGUUGCUGUAGUGAAAGGUUGGAGUACUGGGAAUGGUGAUUAGCUAGGCUGUGACUUAAGCAAAUUAAGAUCGUAUCCUUGAAGAAGAUGCUACCACUGUGGGAAUUCCCUCCACAAGCCUACCUGAACACUACAAACAGUGCAAACCAUUAUCAGGCGCAACCAUGGUAGCAGUUUAUGGAAAGGAGUUGACGCUAGCACACCUUUGUGUAUUACGAAAUACUGAAGAUGCUCAGCCAUACUUCAUGGAGCAUAUGCAAUUAUUGGAGUUAACGUUCCCUAGGUUCAAAAAGAACCAUAAGUGGAUGAGAGAAAAACAGAAUGCCACAUUUGGGGACUGGUUAAAGGAGAGG